rnacentral:misc_RNA from 1 species
CCGAGUUAGGGUUGCCUUUUAGGUGCCCGACCUCCCAACCCUUUGUCUAUGAUACCACAGUUGCUUCGGCGGACCGAGGGGUCAUACCCUCGCCGGGUCCUUUGGGGCCUGGAGAGCGUCCGUCGAUGGCCUCAACUUAACACUUGAACCCAAAACCUGUCGUCUGAAAACAUUUUAUGAUUUAUAAUCAAAAACA